AUUUACUACAGCCAAAUAUUUAUCAAAUUAUUUAUCUACGAAUAGUAAAAAUAGUGUGUAUAGGUGUUUAUUUGUAAUGUGUUAUGACAGCUCUCUACGGAAUGGGAGUCAUGGGACAACAGAGCACAUGACUAGCAGCGCCUUCAAAACUGCUGAUGAGCUGUCAACACCUAUUAUUCGUAGAAGCAAAUAAAACAAUGCUGACCCGUACGCCCGCCAUUGCGUGACGCUCUCGAACAAGUAAAAGAUACAAGACAGGAAUAAUCAGAGAAAGACCGAAGACUCCAGAACGCCAUAGAUUUCGUAAUUUCGCACACGGAAUCACUUAGAUUAAUGAUGUAACUUCGCAUAAACUUCCAAAAUCAUCACUGAACAGGACUAGAGGCAAAAAGCGAAAGGAAAAAAGGAGUAAUCUUCGACAACUCAAGAAUCGUUACCAUGUUCCUGUGUGUCUUACUAGUACUGUUGGCUUCUGGUGCUUCUUCAGUGAAGGUUCUUGUCUCCCAAAAGGACGGCGUCGAUCGAGCAACUUGCCUGCGAUCGUCAAAUAUAAGCAUUCCUUGUGCAUCUCUCCGUUACGCAUUGCAAGUCCUAAACGAUGCCGAGUUCAGCGAGGAAACCGUCUUCAAAUUUCACAUGCAAGACAGAUACUACGAUUUGCAAAAUGACGUUGAGAUUUUGCAAUCUCGAAAAGAUAGGCGCGUCUAUAUAACAUCUGCCGAAAACUCUUACACCGUCAUACGCGGUGCAAAUGAAUCGACGAGUAUAACAAUGGACGCCGCGUAUAACAUCCAUGUUUCGAACAUUGAGUUUCAGCAGUUUACUCCAAGAUCAGCUGCUGUUGUAAUGAUUUGGAACUCUGACAACAUCUCCUUCACAAACUGUGCAUUCAAAGACAACGAUCGCUCUGGUAUUAACGCAUUCGACAGUGGCGUAACUAUGGAGGGAUGCCUUUUUUUAAACAAUACUUCAAAUUUGCAGAAGCUUAUGGUUUUAGAAAGUCAUAUCACUCCGAACACCAUCUCCAUCUCCGGGGGGGCAGGGUUUGUGUUUGAACACGCAGUUAAUCUAAAUCUUGUCAUUAGAAACACAAACUUUACAGCUAAUUCAGCUACGGUCAAUGGUUCUGAGAACUUUAUUCCUCUCACUUCUCCCUCUAGUCUCCCUGGGCUGAACCUUAUAGGCGGUGGCUUAUUCGUCGCCUUCAUUGGCGAGGCGCGCUCAUGUAGAGCCUCAGUGGAGGGAACUUAUUUCGUUGAAAACGAAGCUACGUUUGGUGGCGGAUUUUUUUAUGCCACCACUCAAUAUGCAACAGACAAUUCAAUGAAUGUAUGGAACUCUAGCUUCGUUAAAAACAGCGCUUCGCAAGCUGGUGGCGGAAUUAGUGUUACUGUUGGGGGUUCAACAUCCUUUGCUAAGUUUAGUGUCACGCAUUGCGUUAUCAGUGAAAACUGGUCCAGAAGAGGUGGCGGCGUGAACAUCUUUCUAAUUAACUACCCCGUGACAAUCACGCAAUCGCUGAUACAGUUUAAAAACGUUACCUUCGAUGGAAACGGUGGUUUAGCCAGCGCCGCCGUUCGUCUAGAUACAGCACUUCCCGUUGGAAUCCCGAUCAUUGAAAUGCCGGAAUUUAUUGACUGCAAAAUACAACACCACUGCGCAACAUACAGCACGUACACAAGCCCGUUUACAAGUCUAAGGGUGAACGCAAAAUUCACGGGUAAAAAUAUUUUCAGGGAGAAUCACGGUGCUGGGGCAGUGGAGUACGUACAGGGCCGCAUACUUGUGAACGGGUCUCUGGAGUUCGCCCAGAACUCGGGCUCUCAUGGUGGCGCUGUGCUCUUGAGCUCCAGCCAAAUCAUUCUGCAUCCAGGGAGCGAGCUUCGUUUUGUCAAAAAUUACGCCAGUGGCGUUGGUGGUGCGAUUGUUGUACUAACUGGCUCAAGGUAUGAGUUUAUUCACGAGUAUAAUCCAGACUGUUUUGUGAGGUACAGCGAAGACAAGACAGCUCCUUCUAAAUGGAAGGCUAAGGUGUCAUUUAUCCAGAACCAGGCAAAGGUCAAGGGUGCUGCCGUCUACAUUUCGACAUUGAGCGCAUGUCUGUGGUAUGAGGAAUAUCCAUUUUACAGUGUUCACAAGGCAAUCCGCUGGAAUAAUGCAUUUGAGUAUCGCGGCAACUCUAUCCACCCUGCUAAGACAUUCAAGCCGUUACAGGGACCAGAAUACGACAUAGCAACUGAUACACACCACUUUGAAUACGAGGGAAACAAUGACACAGAAAUAAUGGUCUCGCCUGGUGAAGAUAUCUCGCUCAACAUCCAAGGUUACGAUGAACUCAACCACACAAUAUUCACCAUCGCGACUUUGACCGAAGUGGGUGUGUCUGACGGAACCCCCAAACUUCGCCUAGAUAACAUCAUGCACUUGUUAUCGCCUGUCACAAAUCAGUCUUUCCCCUUCACGUACCGCCUGGCAAACGAAACUCUGUACAAAGAGAUCAAGAACAACACCGUCCAUCACUUUCAGCUGGAGGAUGUGUUCUCCACACUGAAGAACAGAUACUCGUUUAAAAUCACCGCCAUUCCGUGCCGACCAGGAUUCAAGUUUGAAAACACAAAAUGUAUCUGUGAUAAAAAGAUCGAGGGAGUGUUAAGAUGUAAUGAAAAUGCGCGAACAGUGUAUUUGAAGGAGGGGCACUGGGGUGGAGAAGUCAAUGGUCGCCUGGUAACGUAUUACUGUCCACCAAACUACUGUCGUUGCGUGACUGAAGGAGACUUACCCGGAUGUAUAUUCAACCCAGAUCAUAUUGAUGAUCAGUGUGACCAUAACCGAACAGGGGUACUCUGUGGCAAAUGUAAACACGGGCUCACUGUAGGAUUAAGAUCGGACGAGUGUCUGGAAUGUGACAGCAGUGUUUGGAUAAUCGCCAUUACUGUCAUCCUCGUGGUCGUAGUGUGCGUCGUCAUCAUCAUACUCAAUCCCAGCAUGUCUAGCGAACUUCGAGGUCCCCUGUUUUUCUUCCAAGUACUCCCCUUUGUCUUCGAACCGAACAGCGUUGUCGGGGAAACAGUGUUGUUUGUUGGCAACACACUGAAUUUUGGCAGUCCCUUCGUAUAUUUUUUACACAUUUGCAUCAUAAAGGGGAUGACCAAUUUGUAUGCGGUUGCCAUCGGUUACCUGAUGCCGUUUGUGAUCCUUUUAGUCUUUCUAAUAUCUUACGUACUGAGUGCAAACUUUUAUCUCGUGAGAUUCAAACUGCGCAAGCACUCCAGCCUCCAGUCGUUCUGGCUUAUGACACUGUUUGUUUAUAACUAUCUCGUUGUCACCACCUUCAUGCUGUUACACUGUCCCAGGGUUGGUGAAAAACUUGUCUUUUUUUACGACGGGAAUGUAGAGUGCUUCAAAGGGGAACAUUUAGCAAUGUCGUUUCUGGCCGUCUCUGUGCUCGUUGGCCUGGUUGUUCCUCUGCCUGUUAUUGUACUUGUGUUGACCAAAGGUUACUGGAGGGUUGAUCCACAGUAUGUUAACACGCUGAUUAAUGGUCUGCGCCCGCACUGCCGGUGGUGGUGGUCAGUGGAUAUGCUGAGAAGAGUAGUGCUGAUGGCCACGUACUCGUUCAUUCCCCACUGGUUUACAAAACAGGUUAUCACGAUCUUAGUGUGCGCGCUGAUCCUGGCAGUUCACAGCAUAUUCCAACCAUACAGAAAGACACGAGUCAAUGUGGUGGAGUCUCUGUACCUUUACAUACUGUGUGUGAUAGCCAUACUACAAAUACUGCAGGACUCUAACAGCAUCACAGACAUCGUCUGCUCAGUGCUGUUGAUUGUAGCUACGCUUCACGCAGGCGCCCUGGCUGUGUACAAAGCAGUGGUAUUCUUCGAGAGAAAGUUCAGGUGCGCAUGUCCGAAGCGGUGUCCCAAGAGGCGGACUUAUGGAUCGAUGGCAUACACAGCUAUCGACAAAUCUGUUGACCCGGCGCAGAAAGAGCGCAAAGACAUUUUUAACACAAUAUUUAGUACAUCUGAAGACAGUGAGGACGGUUUUGGUAAUUACAGUAGUUAGAAUUUUAACCGAUUGAGGGAGUGAAAAAUGAGGGUACACUUGGCCGUGACAGUCAUCUAGGCUUUCGCUCUGUAGGCUCGUCACGCAAUCUCCUUCUUCCGCGCGGGAGAGGAGGAUUGCGUGACAAGCCCAGCGAGCGUCUGAGCCCGGGGGGAGAGAGAGGAGGGGAGGGGCACUGCCAGAAAAAUUGGGUGGGGGUGUGCGGCCCACUUCCCAAAACCCUUAUCCUAUUUAUGACCGAAAUCUGCGUUUUUGCCUAACCUGUUAAUGACCUGACCAAAACUUCGGUACCCUAUUUAUUGCCUGACCCUCAAAUCAAUAACCCAGACCUGCCUUAUAAUUAGUUACCUAGUUCAGACAAAUGUUAAACAAUUUGUACUAAUUUGUGAAGGGCUUCUUUUGAUGGUUAUUUCGAUAAUGAUGAAAAAGUAGCUUCAUUUUAAAAACAUACUCAUAUCAAGACCAGAAGGCAAAGCCAUACCCUAUUUAUUACCAAAAUGGCAAAAAACGAUACCCUAUUUAUGACCAAAAUGGCUAAAAACCCAUACCCUUUGGGGCCCGCACAUACCUAGUUAACCCAUUUAAGGGAGUAUUCCCCGGACGUCUGAGUAGGGGGUUAGCUGUAAUCAGACGUGCGAUUGUAAUAGGUGAGACAAAACUAACAAAGUGAGAACGAGAAGGAACCAACAGAAACGAAGGAAAGAGGCAAUGAGGGAACAGUAGAUGUGAUCCAAUAGUUACAAACAUAUUUUUACUGAGCGCUGAUAAAGAAGUAGAACAUUACUUAUUCGAUGUUUACAUUAAAGAACAUACUAUUACAAAAACUUCGAGGUCCCGUCCACACUACACCAGAGAAAUUUGAAAACGCAGCUUUGUUUCUACAGUAAAGCCUACCGUUCACACUAA
rnacentral:misc_RNA from 1 species